GAUGAACGCUGGCGGCGUGCCUAAUACAUGCAAGUCGAGCGAACAGACGAGGAGCUUGCUCCUCUGACGUUAGCGGCGGACGGGUGAGUAACACGUGGAUAACCUACCUAUAAGACUGGGAUAACUUCGGGAAACCGGAGCUAAUACCGGAUAAUAUAUUGAACCGCAUGGUUCAAUAGUGAAAGACGGUUUUGCUGUCACUUAUAGAUGGAUCCGCGCCGCAUUAGCUAGUUGGUAAGGUAACGGCUUACCAAGGCAACGAUGCGUAGCCGGCCUGAGAGGGUGGUCGGCCACACUGGAACUGAGACACGGUCCAGACUCCUACGGGAGGCAGCAGUAGGGAAUCUUCCGCAAUGGGCGAAAGCCUGACGGAGCAACGCCGCGUGAGUGAUGAAGGUCUUCGGAUCGUAAAACUCUGUUAUUAGGGAAGAACAAAUGUGUAAGUAACUAUGCACGUCUUGACGGUACCUAAUCAGAAAGCCACGGCUAACUACGUG
rnacentral:rRNA from 1 species